rnacentral:rRNA from 1 species
UACGGGGGGGGCAAGCGUUGUUCGGAAUUACUGGGCGUAAAGGGCUCGUAGGCGGCCAACUAAGUCAGCCGUGAAAUCCCUCGGCUUAACCGGGGAACUGCAUCUGAUACUGGAUGGCUUGAGUUCGGGAGAGGGAUGCGGAAUUCCAGGUGUAGCGGUGAAAUGCGUAGAUAUCUGGAGGAACACCGGUGGCGAAAGCGCUCUGCUGGGCCAUAACUGACACUCAGGGACGAAAGCUAGGGGAGCGAAUGGG